rnacentral:rRNA from 1 species
AACGAACGCUGGCGGCAGGCCUAACACAUGCAAGUCGAGCGAAGCCUUCGGGCUUAGUGGCGGACGGGUGAGUAACGCGUGGGAACGUGCCCUUUGGUACGGAAUAGCCCCGGGAAACUGGGAGUAAUACCGUAUGUGCCCGUGAGGGGAAAGAUUUAUCGGCAAAGGAUCGGCCCGCGUUGGAGUAGGUAGUUGGUGGGGUAAUGGCCUACCAAGCCGAAGAUCCAUAGCUGUUUUGAGAGGAUGAUCAGCCACACUGGGACUGAGACACGGCCCAGACUCCUACGGGAGGCAGCAGUGGGGAAUCUUAGACAAUGGGGGAAACCCUGAUCUAGCCAUGCCGCGUGAGCGAUGAAGGCCUUAGGGUUGUAAAGCUCUUUCAGUGGGGAAGAUAAUGACGGUACCCACAGAAGAAGCCCCGGCUAACUCCGUGCCAGCAGCCGCCGUAACAC